rnacentral:rRNA from 1 species
AUUGAACGCCGGCGGAAUACUUUACACAUGCAAGUCGAACGGUAGAGGGGGCAACCCCUCGAGAGUGGCGAACGGGUGAGUAAUAUAUCGGAACGUGCCCAGUCGUGGGGGAUAACGUAGCGAAAGUUACACUAAUACCGCAUACGAUCUAAGGAUGAAAGCGGGGGAUCGCAAGACCUCGCGCGAUUGGAGCGGCCGAUAUCAGAUUAGGUAGUUGGUGGGGUAAAGGCUCACCAAGCCAACGAUCUGUAGAUGGUCUGAGAGGACGACCAGCCACACUGGAACUGAGACACGGUCCAGACUCCUACGGGAGGCAGCAGUGGGGAAUUUUGGACAAUGGACGCAAGUCUGAUCCAGCCAUUCCGCGUGCAGGAUGAAGGCCCUCGGGUUGUAAACUGCUUUUGUACGGAACGAAAAGGUCUCUCUUAAUACGGGGGACUCAUGACGGUACCGUAAGAAUAAGCACCGGCUAACUACGUGCCAGCCGCCGCCGUAA